GAUGAACGCUAGCGGCAGGCUUAACACAUGCAAGUCGAGGGGUAGAGGCUUUCGGGCCUUGAGACCGGCGCACGGGUGCGUAACGCGUAUGCAAUCUGCCUUGUACUGGGGGAUAGCCCAGAGAAAUUUGGAUUAAUACCCCAUAGUAUUUUCGGUUGGCAUCAACUGAUUAUUAAAGUUUUUCGGUACAAGAUGAGCAUGCGUCCCAUUAGCUAGUUGGUAUGGUAACGGCAUACCAAGGCUACGAUGGGUAGGGGUCCUGAGAGGGAGAUCCACCACACUGGUACUGAGACACGGACCAGACUCCUACGGGAGGCAGCAGUGAGGAAUAUUGGUCAAUGGUCGCAAGACUGAACCAGCCAUGCCGCGUGCAGGAUGACGCAUCUAUGGUGUGUAAACUGCUUUUGUACGGGAAGAAACACCGCUACGUGUAGCGGCUUGACGGUACCGUAAGAAUAAGGAUCGGCUAACUCCGUGCCAGCCGCCGCAGUAA
rnacentral:rRNA from 1 species